rnacentral:rRNA from 1 species
AGAGCGAACGCUGGCGGCAGGCUUAACACAUGCAAGUCGAGCGCCCCGCAAGGGGAGCGGCAGACGGGUGAGUAACGCGUGGGAACGUACCUUUUGGUUCGGAACAACACAGGGAAACUUGUGCUAAUACCGGAUAAGCCCUUACGGGGAAAGAUUUAUCGCCGAAAGAUCGGCCCGCGUCUGAUUAGCUAGUUGGUGAGGUAACGGCUCACCAAGGCGACGAUCAGUAGCUGGUCUGAGAGGAUGAUCAGCCACAUUGGGACUGAGACACGGCCCAAACUCCUACGGGAGGCAGCAGUGGGGAAUAUUGGACAAUGGGCGCAAGCCUGAUCCAGCCAUGCCGCGUGAGUGAUGAAGGCCCUAGGGUUGUAAAGCUCUUUUGUGCGGGAAGAUAAUGACGGUACCGCAAAGAAUAAGCCCCGGCUAACUUCGUGCCAGCAGCCGC